UCUAGUAAUGCUGUUUGGAUCCAGAUUCUAUUGCAGCAUUCUUUGACAUUUCUGGUAAGUAAAUAGAAGCAUAGGGGGUCUCAGACUGGCUAAACUACAGUUCAUUUGUUUCAGGAUUUUUUUCUAGUUCUGAAGCAAUUGGUUAGUCAUUUUUUUUAAAAUAAAAUAUUGUGCUGUUUCUGUUUAGUUUUGAAGACAAGCCCCUAGCAUGUUUUCUCUCUUUUUACUGCACAUCUAAUGGAAACUGAAAGCAACAAGACAUGGGGUCAGCUAGCAGCUAAAUCCUCAAGGAGGCACCACACUUUGGAUGUAUGGAUAUUUGUGUACUGAUACACAAACCAGGAUACUACACUGCCACUAGUGCUCAAUUGGUCAUUUCACAGGUUUUAAAGAUUACAUUAUUUUUAAUUCAGAAUUUCAGAACAGCUUUAAAACUUAUUUUUGAGGGCAUUUUCAUUUUUUCUGUGGCAUAUUAAAACAUAUGUGCAUAGCUUACACCAGUAAAAGAUCACAAAGUAACUGAUGCAUGCCAUUUGUCUUGCCAGAGCCAUCAAAUGCAGAGGAUGAUCAGCUUUGUAAGGUGUUAAUGGCAUACUGGGCUAAUUUUGCUCGAAAUGGAGAUCCAAAUGGAGAAGGGCUGCUGCAUUGGCCUCCUUAUGAUGAUUCUGAAAGCUACAUGGUACUGAAUUUAACCCAAAGCGUUCAGCAGAAACUAAUGGGAGACAAAUUGAAAUUCUUACUCCAAACUCUACCCCAAAAAAUUAAACACCUGAAGGACAAUGGAUAUUAAGUUCUGGAAAUGUAACUACCAUUCUACAGUAAUACCUUUAAAAAAAUGUCAAAGUUGAAUAGCUUAAACUUAAAGGGUUUAUGAAUUUGUGAAAGAUUAAUUUUGACUUAAAAUUUAAAGAAAGUAAAUUUAAAUAAAUGUAAUAUUUCUCAUCAGAA